AACGGUCUAUACCUGCGGUACCUGCGGAGGGAUCAUUACCGAGUUAUCAACUCCCAAACCCCUGUGAACAUACCCGAACGUUGCCUCGGCGGGACCGCCCCGGCGCCCCUAGCGGCCCGGAACCAGGCGCCCGCCGGAGGACCCAAACUCUUGCUUUAAACAGUGGCAUACUCUCUGAGUCUCACAAACAAAAAAUAAAUCAGAACUUUUAACAAUGGAUCUCUAGAUCGGAAGAGCACA
rnacentral:misc_RNA from 1 species